AAGAGCCACAUAGAGAUCCUGCCCACCAUUGCCAUGGAGACAUUGUGAGGUAAGUCCUCUGAGUGGAAGACGGGAGAAAGUAGGCGGGUAGCAUUCCCAACGACAUCUUUGCAAUGCCAGGUCCUGUGAAGGAGAACUGUGAUCGGCUGGAUCCACUCAGGCUUGCCCAGUUCCUUGCUUUAUAGCAGGUGUAAGCAGCUUGUAUAUUCCACCAACAAGAUGCUCGCUAGGGUUGCCAGAGUGAAAAAUAAGGAUUGCUUCUGCUUGUUAACAGGUUGCAUGACAAGUAACAUCUGCUAAAAUUCCCUUUUCUACACAACCAAUAAAAGUAGAGUAGUUAUUUCCACUUUUCAACUAGGCAAUCGUAAUGCUGGCUUAAGUGAACCAGAGGCAGAGAAUUAACCAGAAACCAUUCCAGAAGAGGAGUGCUGAAAAUAAUAUAAAAAAAGAACACAGGCAACAAAUCCUUCCUCAAUUCAUCUGCAGACAAGACAACAGAUUUGGCAAAAGUUGUGAUUGUGCCCGACCUUUUACUGAAAGCAGUGGUAAUUAAAUUUCCUCUACCUUUGGGACUCAUGAGAGUUGCUUCUAUAGCCUUGCCACCAUCGCCACAUCUUGCUUCAUCAAAUGGAAGACACUGCUCUCCAGUCCCUGCUAUCACAUCAGCAUUUUUUGUCAGGUCCUUUGCCCCGGAAAUACUUUUUUAUGGGACAUGGAAAGAACGAAAUCACAGCAUCAGGUUGUCAGUUCAUAACGGUGGAAUGAAGAAUGAAAAGGAAAACAAUUGAUGAACCUUCAGUGUUGCAGAAAACAAGCCUUUCUGUUUUCUCUGAGCUUAGUUGCUAGCCUGAUAGAAGAUCUCUUAACAAAUAUAUUUUUUUCUAACAAUUUUGUAUGCCUUUGGUGAUAGAUCCUUAUAUACAUUUACUAUAAUAACUAUUAGUUCUAUAGGGUUGUUGUGUGUUUUUUGGGCUGUAUGGCCAUGUUCCAGAAGUAUUCUCUCCUGAUGUUUCACCCACAUCUAUGGCAGGCAUCCUCAGAGGUUGUGAGUUCUAUAGUCUUACAGACCAUAUAUACUCAGUAAGUAAACCUAAAGUAGAAGUCAAAGGCAAGCUUGACUGAUAGAAUCACAGAAUCAAAGAGUUGGAUGAAAUCACAAGGGGCAUCCAGUCUAACAAUAAGCCAAAGUGAUCAACUUUGAUAAGAUCUAUGGAUAUGUCAUGAGAAAAGCCAUUUCAAGGGGCCAACCAUCCCUUGCCACCACCAUUUUCCCACGCAGGCAUUUGAAAGGGCCAAAAGUGGCACCUGGUUCUCACUAGACAGAUUAAGUGCUAGCCUUUUGCCACUCUUCUCAGAGAAAAUAGUUCUUUUUUUGGUAAGAGUUAGGAUUCAAUAAUGACAUUGACCCAUACAUAAGAAGACCCAAGAUUUUUGGGUUGAUUUUUUACUACAAUUUCUAGACAUAUAUGUGAGAUUAUAGGUUUGUUUUAAUCAGUGGAACAAUAAAUAAAAAUGUGUGUAGUGAUUCCAGUAGAGUCCUCUUGACCAGUACAUUUUUAAAUAGUUAAGAAUUUCCCCCCCUAAAAUAAUAGAUUUGGGAAUGACACUGUGUGUGCUGUUACCUGCACUAUGUAAGACAAAGGAAUCUCUAAGGAAUACUCAUUAGCAUGCUUCAUGAGAAUCUACAUUCCCGAAAAUAACCUCUACUCGUAGAACUUCAAAGGCUUGGCACAAUCUCUGGACUCUGGAGAUCCACAAUAAUAAUCUUGGCUGGCUGGGAAAAGACUGUUUUUUGAUUAAUGGCAUACAUUUCUUGCUUUAUAGUGAAAGAAGACAAUUACC